GAGUGAAGCUCCUCAAAUAAGAAACCACUGAACAAAAAAGGGUUGGGCUGAAGCUCGUUUAGUAAUAAAUUUCCACUCACCUUCAUAAUUCAUUAUCUUAUUAUCUUCCCAUUUAUAGGUAGUUUAUGCAAUUCUUAUGGCACACCUCAACAUGGUUACAUGGGACAAGACAGGCCAAGCACCAAAACCUACUAUUUCCCCUGAUUCUGAUAGCUAACAUUUUGAGCCUCUCCUAGUGAGGGUGGAAAUCUAAAAUCAGCAAAUGGAAAUCACCUUGUGUUUAAACAUCUAAAUUAUUAACUAUAUCAGUGCCUCAGAGAACAAAAUGUAUAAUGUUUUUGAGGGCUCAGAGAAAGUAAAUUGGAAAAGCCUACUAAUAAAAAUAGACAAAUAUUUCCCUACUAUCUCUGUCAGCUUUAUUAUCCAGGGGAAGAUCCAGCAUUUUUUUCCCAGUUGAGUCAAUUUGUGCACCUACCUUGUAAA
rnacentral:misc_RNA from 1 species